AAUCUAAAAACAUACUUAUCUAGGCUGCUUUUCAGACGAAAAGAAAAUUAUAGAACUUGGUUGUCAUGAUGGGCUUGGCUGAAGAAGAAAUAAAAGCAGAGCAGGACGUAGUGGAAGGGAUGGAUAUCUCCACUCGAUCCAAAGUAUGCCAUCUCAAUACACUUCUGACAGCAAGAACACCUGAGCUUGGAAUUCUUGUGAAGCAGAAUGGCAUUUCUUUAAAUUUGUGCUCACUUGAACUAUUUAUCGUCUCAAGCCUCCUAGUUACUGUCUUUCAAUUAAUAUUGUCUAUUUUAAAAGUUUGUUUUGUAUUUCCAUUAAAAGUGUUAUAUUCAGUUACU
rnacentral:lncRNA from 1 species